AACGCGAAGAACCUUACCUGGAUUUGACAUCUCCUGACAACCCUAGAGAUAGGGCUUCUGUAGCAAUACAGCAGGAUGACAGGUGCUGCAUGGCUGUCGUCAGCUCGUGUGGUGACAUGUUGGGUUAAGUCCCGCAACGAGCGCAACCCUUGUCCUUAGUUGCCAGCAUUUAGUUGGGCUCUCUAAGGAGACUGCCGUGGUUAACACGGAGGAAGGUGGGGAUGACGUCAAGUCCUCAUGGCCUUUAUAUCCAGGGCGACACACGUGAUACAAUGGACGGUACAGAGGGACGCCAAGAGGCAACUCGGAGCUAAUCUCAAAAAGCCGUUCUCAGUUCGGAUUGGAGUCUGCAACUCGACUCCAUGAAGUUGGAAUCGCUAGUAACCGUGGGUCAGCACACCACGGUGAAUACGUUCCCGGGCCUUGUACACACCGCGAGC
rnacentral:rRNA from 1 species